rnacentral:rRNA from 1 species
UACGUAGGGUGCGAACGUUAUUCGGAAUCACUGGGCUUAAAGCGCGUGUAGGCGGGGCGGCACGUCGGUCGCUGAAAGCCCCCGGCUCAACCGGGGAACGGGCGCCGAUACGACCGCCCUCGAGGGACGUAGGGGGACCUGGAACUUCCGGUGGAGCGGUGAAAUGCGUUGAGAUCGGAAGGAACGCCCGUGGCGAAAGCGAGGUCCUGGACGUCUGCUGACGCUGAGACGCGAAAGCCAGGGGAGCGAACGGG